CAUCUCAUGUUGAGCAGAAAGUGAGACGACAUGGACCUGACAGCUUCCUCCAUCUCUCUGAUGAUGAAUGUGCUGGUGCUGAUGUUGACUGUUCACUACGGCCUUUCACAAACAUCAGAGCGUACUUUCCCUCGUAUUGUCCCGUCGCAACUGCAGUUCUUGGAAUACUCCAGUCUCACUGUGACCUGUGAGGGAUUUUUCAACGACAUGACUAAUUGGAGGGUGCUGAGGAGAAAAGG